UACGUAGGGUGCAAGCGUUUGUCCGGAAUUAUUGGGCGUAAAGAGCUCGUAGGCGGUCUGUCGCGUCGGCUGUGAAAACUCGGGGGCUCAACCCCGAGCCUGCAGUCGAUACGGGCAGACUAGAGUGCUGUAGGGGAGACUGGAAUUCCUGGUGUAGCGGUGAAAUGCGCAGAUAUCAGGAGGAACACCGGUGGCGAAGGCGGGGUCUCUGGGCAGUAACUGACGCUGAGGAGCGAAAGCGUGGGGAGCGAACAGG
rnacentral:rRNA from 1 species